AGCGAACGCUGGCGGCAUGCUUAACACAUGCAAGUCGCACGGGCAGCUUCGGCUGUCAGUGGCGGACGGGUGAGUAACGCGUAGGUAUCUAUCCUUGGGUGGGGACAACUGUGGGAACUACAGCUAUACCGCAUGAUGACCGAGGUCCAAAGCCGGCUGGGGCAACCUGGUGGGCGCCUGGGGCGGAGCCUGCGUACGAUUAGCUAGUUGGUGGGGUAAAGGCCUACCAAGGCGACGAUCGUUAGCUGGUCUGAGAGGAUGAUCAGCCACAUUGGGACUGAGACACGGCCCAAACUCCUACGGGAGGCAGCAGUGGGGAAUAUUGGACAAUGGGCGCAAGCCUGAUCCAGCAAUGCCGCGUGUGUGAAGAAGGUCUUCGGAUUGU
rnacentral:rRNA from 1 species